rnacentral:rRNA from 1 species
UACAGAGGGGGCAAGCGUUGUCCGGAGUUACUGGGCGUAAAGGGUCCGCAGGCGGCUACGCAAGUGUCGUGUGAAAGCCCCGUGCUUAACACGGGGAGGCCACGGCAGACUGCGCAGCUCGAGUGAUGCAGAGGGUGGUGGAAUUGCCGGUGUAGUGGUGAAAUGCGUAGAGAUCGGCAGGAACACCCAGGGCGAAAGCAGCCACCUGGGCAUCAACUGACGCUGAGGGACGAAAGCGUGGGGAGCGAACCGG